GUAACGAGCGCAACCCUUGUCCUUAGUUACCAGCACGGUUAUGGUGGGCACUCUAAGGAGACUGCCGGUGACAAACCGGAGGAAGGUGGGGAUGACGUCAAGUUAUCAUGGCCCUUACGGCCUGGGCUACACACGUGCUACAAUGGUCGGUACAAAGGGUUGCCAAGCCGCGAGGUGGAGCUAAUCCCAUAAAACCGAUCGUAGUCCGGAUCGCAGUCUGCAACUCGACUGCGUGAAGUCGGAAUCGCUAGUAAUCGUGAAUCAGAAUGUCACGGUGAAUACGUUCCCGGGCCUU
rnacentral:rRNA from 1 species